rnacentral:tRNA from 1 species
GGAGAGAUGGCUCAGUGGUUAAGAGCACUGACUGCUCUUCCAGAGGUCCUGAGUUCGAUUCCCAGCACCCACG